UUUCCGUAGGUGAACCUGCGGAAGGAUCAUUAUUGUAUAACAGAGGUACUAGCGCUGUCUCUCACCCGAGAUGUCGUGCACGCCCGAUUACCCUCCCACACUCCCAUCUCCCCCAUAUGUGCACCCCCUCUUGGUUCCCCCUUUGGCUUGUUCGUGGGGUGGGCUUACUUUUUCACACAUCCUUUGCAUGCCGUGUAGAAGGUAUUUUUUCUUUUUGCGCUCACGCAAUCAAUACAACUUUCAACAACGGAUCUCUUGGCUCUC
rnacentral:misc_RNA from 1 species